rnacentral:rRNA from 1 species
GCACCAGACUCCUACGGGAGGCAGCAGUGGGGAAUAUUGCACAAUGGGCGCAAGCCUGAUGCAGCCAUGCCGCGUGUAUGAAGAAGGCCUUCGGGUUGUAAAGUACUUUCAGCGGGGAGGAAGGUGCUGAGGUUAAUAACCUUGUCGAUUGACGUUACCCGCAGAAGAAGCACCGGCUAACUCCGUGCCAGCAGCCGCGGUAAUACGGAGGGUGCAAGCGUUAAUCGGAAUUACUGGGCGUAAAGCGCACGCAGGCGGUCUGUCAAGUCGGAUGUGAAAUCCCCGGGCUCAACCUGGGAACUGCAUUCGAAACUGGCAGGCUGGAGUCUUGUAGGGGGGGGUAGAAUUCCAGGUGUAGCGGUGAAAUGCGUAGAGAUCUGGAGGAAUACCGGUGGCGAAGGCGGCCCCCUGGACAAAGACUGACGCUCAGGUGCGAAAGCGUGGGGAGCAAACAGGAUUAGAUACCCUCGUAGUG